GUGAUAAGAGGCCAUCAGGUGCCAAGGAGACUUGCCAUAAACCACAUUAUAGAUUCCAAGCUAAUAGUGUCGUGUUCAUUCUCAAGAAUGACUCCAAUUUCUAUAGAACAUGAUUCUCAUGUUGACUCUGAUGGAUGGCUGCCAUGGCCUUUCUUUUCUUUUGUUUCUUGAAUCAUUUGAUCAAAGGUAGACAAGCUCGGUAUUUUGAAACCUUAAGGAGGCUGUAGGCAAGUCAUCCUUCGCUACCAAACAACGCUCUUUAUC
rfam:Vitis vinifera, whole genome shotgun sequence of line PN40024, unoriented chromosome 1, chr1